UUAUUCCUGUAAUUCAGCAUCCCGUCCUGAGACAGAGCCCGGCAGGCCUCUCGGAAGUUGGGCCUGGGGAGCAGAGCCCCUUAAAGAUCGGGGUCCAGAUGGGCCUCAGGUCGGAUUUUUAUUCCUCCCUGAAUCCACACGCAGAAGGGGCCCUCCCAGUCCUGCGGUGGAGACGGGCAGCCGUAGCCCAGUCCCCAAAUAGGGAAAACAUGGGGAGGAGCGCAGGGGCCAUCUCAGGAGGCCCGAGAGAUGACGCAACUGUGAGCAACUCUCCAGGCUCUGGCUCCGGAGCCGGGGCUGGGACCCUGGGGUCCCCUUCCGCCCACACCUUGACUGAGGCCUUGGCAAAAGUGCGGGGACGGACGGAAGUGGAAAUGGGGAUGAAAGGGGGCAUCGUGAAAAGAAGAAACUAGUACAGAGAAACAGGAAGCAGGGAGGAAAGGAAGUGGCAGACAGGAGCCCAGGAGCCCGAGAGGAGCCGAGGGGGGGAAAGGCCGAUGGCGGGCGUGGCCGGGAGGGAGUGGGCCCCGGGCUGCUGGUGACAGAUGGGUGGACACAAAGAGGAGACAGAUGGAUGGGGGAGGGAGGAGGGAGGCUGGAGGGGCAGUGGUUGGAGGCCUUAAUGAGAUUGGAGCUGGGCUCGGGGCUGAGGAGAGAGGCACAGAGAGGGAGACCCAGAAAGACGGACUGACACGCACGGUGUGGAGGCAGACAAGGGGACAGAAGAAAAUCCACGAGGAGCUGCGGCCUCCCGGCCACGCCACGGCUCCUGCCCGGGCUCCCCCCCGCCCGCUUGCUCCUGCGACCCAGGACCCAGGAUGAGGGCCGGUCUCCCACCGAGGAUGACACCCCCACCCCGGCGGGGGCCACUCCAGGGAAAGGGUCAGGCAGCGCGGCACCGCGAGGGUUAACGCCGGCUGCUCUCCCUGCCAGCCGCCUGCCUGGUCGGGUCCCCAGGGCUCCCCGCAUAUGUCACCCCCUCUCCUGCCAAGCCCACUGCUUCCCAGCUCCUCCAGGCCCUCCCCCACCCUCAAGGACUAGGCCCCGGCCCCUGUGUCUUCCCUACACUCCAACCUCCCAUCCGGCAGUCUACUUCCAAUCUACCUCCAAGGCCAGGCCGUGUAGACCUGAAAAGACCGCAGGUGACCACCCGAGAAAGUGAACGCCUAUAAAAUGCUAAAUAAAGACAAACCAAACCGUA